rnacentral:rRNA from 1 species
CCUACGGGAGGCAGCAGUGGGGAAUAUUGCACAAUGGGGGGAACCCUGAUGCAGCGACGCCGCGUGAGUGAAGAAGUAUUUCGGUAUGUAAAGCUCUAUCAGCAGGGACGAAGAUGACGGUACCUGACUAAGAAGCCCCGGCUAACUACGUGCCAGCAGCCGCGGUAAUAAGUAGGGGGCAAGCGUUAUCCGGAUUUACUGGGUGUAAAGGGAGAGUAGACGGCAGGGCAAGUCUGGAGUGAAAGCCCGGGGCUCAACCCCGGGACUGCUUUGGAAACUGCCAUGCUAGAGUGCGGGAGAGGUAGGCGGAAUUCCUAGUGUAGCGGUGAAAUGCGUAGAUAUUAGGAAGAACACCAGUGGCGAAGGCGGCUUACUGGACAGUAACUGACGUUGAGGCUCGAAAGUGUGGGGAGCAAACAGGAUUAGAUACCCGGGUAGUC